UUUAGAUUCUGGCUGGAGCAGGCUAAGCGAGCAGGUAUAGUUGAGGCCUUAAGUCGUCGAUACCGUAAAUAAAACGGGGGAAGACAGAUAAGAUAAGCUACCUGGCGGACAAUCGAAAACAGUGGUUUUGUGGCUGUAACGCAGCUUAUCUAGGCGCAUUCGUAGAAACGGACAACGUACUUAUUUGCAAACUGCCCACCGAAGAAGCUGGAGCUCCUUUUCGGGACGUGUUAUUAGUCGAAGUUCGCAUUUGAAGGGAAAAAAAUACCAUGAAGCUAGCGCUGCUGCUGUUCGGUGUAGUUUUGUUGGCAAGCUUGGCCUACGGACGACCAGCCGGUUGUGAGGAUGAGCCGGAAGUUCCACCACUAGUAGUGGACGAACUACAUGUGGAUAUUGUUGUGCUGCAGGAACCGAACUCGUCGAAGGGCUUAUUACACAAUCCCAAGAACAUCAUUGAUGCUCCCAAGGUAUGCCCUGACGGACAAAAACUCGACCACCAAGGAAAAUGUAGACCCGUAAUGGGGUAGAGCGACCAAAAAGGAUAUUAUGAGAUGCUGCAAAUAAAUGAAUGAAUAAACCUAAGAGGGUGCAAGAGAGAGAGAGCUGAUAUUUAGAAA